CAGUAGCCGCGGUAAUACGAAGGGUGCAAGCGUUACUCGGAAUUACUGGGCGUAAAGCGUGCGUAGGUGGUGGUUUAAGUCCGUUGUGAAAGCCCUGGGCUCAACCUGGGAAUUGCAGUGGAUACUGGAUCACUAGAGUGUGGUAGAGGAUAGUGGAAUUUCCGGUGUAGCAGUGAAAUGCGUAGAGAUCGGAAGGAACAUCUGUGGCGAAGGCGACUAUCUGGGCCAACACUGACACUGAGGCACGAAAGCGUGGGGAGCAAACAGGAUUAGAUACCCCUGUAGUCCCUGUCUCUUAUAA
rnacentral:rRNA from 1 species